UUCUAGAUGGUCUAACGGUUAUGAUGGGUGCUUGUCACGCACUCGACCGGGGUUCGACUCCCCGUCUGGAAG